rnacentral:rRNA from 1 species
UACAGAGGUCUCAAGCGUUGUUCGGAUUCAUUGGGCGUAAAGGGUGCGUAGGUGGCGCCGUAAGUCGGGUGUGAAAUUUCGGAGCUUAACUCCGAAACUGCAUUCGAUACUGCGGUGACUGGAGUACGGUAGAGGAGUGUGGAAUUCCUGGUGUAGCGGUGAAAUGCGCAGAUAUCAGGAGGAACACCAACGGCGAAGGCAGCACUCUGGGCCGGUACUGACGCUGAGGAGCGAAAGCGUGGGGAGCAAACAGG